CAAUUGUCGUUGUUUUGUAAAGUUUCAUUGCUUACAGUUAAAUUUUUUCACAAAUAUGGUAUUUAAAUAUUUUAAUAUUAAAAAUUUUUUAAUUUGAUUUACGCUUUUACCAACAUAUCUUUUCGAAGUAACACAUUUCAUUUCGAUUUCGACACUGUCCAACACAUAUUAGUAGUGAAUUUUAACGACGUUCUUGAGCUUCGCCUCCAAUUCUUUUGUCAACCUUUUCAAGGAAAUUUGAUCAGAAAAAAUAAGUAAAUAAUGGAAUCAUUGAACGAUAUUUUAAGUAAUUUAAGAGAAUUUAAAAAAAAUCAACAUGUUAUUAUAAACGAAGAAAACAAUUUACAAAUCAGUGAUAUAAAUUAUCAUUUUUAUGGUGCAAAAAAUUUAAUAGAUAUGAGUGAAAAUAAAUCAGAACGAACGAAUGAUGCAUUAAUUUCAAUAGAAUCUUAUGAACAUGGAAUCCAAAAAAUUUCUGAUUCACAUGAUGAAAUCAAACUACCAAUAUCUCAUAUUGAACAUAAUGCAACAACUAGUUUUAUAACAGACACCAUGACAUUUGUAAAUUACUUGGAUAUGCAUACAAAUACUAAAUCGAAUAUAAACUUAAUACCUCCUAGGAUAAGUACUUGGGUGACUUUUAUAGUAAUUUCAAAUCGUAAAUUCAUUUGAGCUGUUCGAAAGUUAUCAUCAUAUUUAUAUUAUUUCAUUCAGCUAACAAUCAAAGUUGACUGAAAUAUUCAAAGAAAGAUUAAAAAAUAGCAACGAUGUAUUCAAGACUUAAAGAAAGAUAUUCGAAAUUGUAAAUUUAUAACAGACAAUGUAGAAGUAAUGAUUAAUAAUUUUAAUAUUUUUGAAAAUUCUUCAGUUACUCUAUUAGAUACAAGUAUAAAUGAAAAUCUAUUCUUGGAAUCGAUUCAGGAAUGAUGUAAACUAGAGAUGACUAGACUUUUUGAUUAUUAAUGAUUUAUAUUAAAUCUUGCAUAUCACUAAGUAAUUGGUGAGAUGUAUCAAAUUUAUUGUCCAAGUUUAACUUCAAAAGUAAGAGUUUGGGAUCAACUAUAUCCUAGACAAAUAUAUGAGAGAUUAUUAUUUAAAUAUAAUUCAUAUUAUAGUUGCGUUUUAUGUUGAUUUACCUUAAAAUGUGUUUGUAUUUGUGGAGAAGUAAUAUAUAUUGAAUCUUUUAUUUUACUACAA